rnacentral:rRNA from 1 species
CAGUCGCCGCGGUAAUACGUAGGUGGCAAGCGUUGUCCGGAAUUAUUGGGCGUAAAGGGCUCGCAGGCGGUUUCUUAAGUCUGAUGUGAAAGCCCCCGGCUCAACCGGGGAGGGUCAUUGGAAACUGGGAAACUUGAGUGCAGAAGAGGAGAGUGGAAUUCCACGUGUAGCGGUGAAAUGCGUAGAGAUGUGGAGGAACACCAGUGGCGAAGGCGACCCUCUGGUCUGUAACUGACGCUGAGGAGCGAAAGCGUGGGGAGCGAACAGGAUUAGAUACCCGCGUAGUCCCUGUCUCUUAACA